rnacentral:rRNA from 1 species
UACGGAGGGUGCGAGCGUUAUCCGGAUUCACUGGGUUUAAAGGGUGCGUAGGUGGGAAUGUAAGUCAGUGGUGAAAUCUCUGAGCUUAACUCAGAAACUGCCAUUGAUACUAUGUUUCUUGAAUUUUCUGGAGGUCAGCGGAAUAUGUCAUGUAGCGGUGAAAUGCUUAGAUAUGACAUAGAACACCAAUUGCGAAGGCAGCUGGCUACAGGGAUAUUGACACUGAGGCACGAAAAGCGUGGGGGAUCAAACAGG